rnacentral:rRNA from 1 species
UACCCCGGUAGUCCAUACCGUAAACGAUGGGUGCUAGUUGUUAAGAGGUUUCCGCCUCCUAGUGACGUAGCAAACGCAUUAAGCACCCCGCCUGAGGAGUACGGCCGCAAGGCUAAAACUUAAAGGAAUUGACGGGGACCCGCACAAGCGGUGGAGCAUGUGGUUUAAUUCGAAGAUACGCGAAAAACCUUACCAGGUCUUGACAUACCAAUGAUCGCUUUUGUAAUGAAAGCUUUUCUUCGGAACAUUGGAUACAGGUGGUGCAUGGUCGUCGUCAGCUCGUGUCGUGAGAUGUUGGGUUAAGUCCCGCAACGAGCGCAACCCUUGUUAUUAGUUGCCAGCAUUUAGUUGGGCACUCUAAUGA